rnacentral:tRNA from 1 species
GCCUCCAUAGCUCAGUGGACAGAGCAGUCGGCUUCUACCCGAUUGGUCGAGGGUUCGAAUCCUUCUGGGGGCGCUU